rnacentral:lncRNA from 1 species
GAGCGGGGUAUUUAUUUAAAUUAAAAAAAAAAAAAAAAAGCUGUCAGGAACUUUUUUUAAAUUCCUUUCUUUUCAGAAUAAUAUAUUAAAAGACUCAUGAUCCUAGAGCUGUCUUCUUAUAUCCCCACCCCCACCCCCACCCCGUGUGCUCUGUCUUUUAUACAUGUUCUUUUUCCCACAAUGCCCUGGGUGGGUGGGAAUCCAAGGUGCCACCGGGAGCCAUCGUGACCAGUCACGAGGAAAAGCAGAGUUUCCGGUAAGUGGGAAUUCUGUCAUGCUGCCCAUUUCUUAAGUUCCUCCGGUGUGUGUGUGUGUGUGUGCACUUGCGUGUGCCCCCUAGCAUAUGCGUCAUGCGUUGUGCAUGUGUGCACUUGAGUACGGAGGUCAGAGAUUGACCUCCGGGAGCUGCCUGUUUCCACCUAGGAUUACAGACUUUUCACGUAGGGGCUUUGGAAUCCAUACUCAGCUCCGCAUCCAUCAGUUGAGCCAUCCCCCAGGAUCCGGUCACUCCAUUUUCCCUGAGCAUCCGCUGUGUUCCUGGCAGGGCUCAGAUGCAGAAUGUCCAGACCAUGAGGUUGGGAUCCUGCUGAUCUUGCAGUCUACUCUGGGAGCUGAAACACCCAGACUCCAGUAAACACUGAUGCAGGACUGGCAGAGAAAAAGGAGAGCUGUUGGUCAUUUAGAGCACUAGUGGAUCGGGAAAGAAGGCUGGGGAUAUAAGACUGCAGUAGAGCAUUUGCUUACAGUCUCCCAGAGAAGGGACUGAAGCACGGCUCGGCAGUAGAUUCUAAUCCAGAAUCUUCUGGUGAGUGGCUUAUCACUGGUCUAAGUUUAUUGCAAGCCUCAGGGUUCUCUCACCCGUACCACCAAUAAUAAAUAAUGGUGAGGCAUCAUGUAGAGUAUAAAAAAAUUGAUGACAAUGCUCUGCAGGUUUUUAGAAUUGAGAACACCAAUUACAAAUAAUGGGGGCAGGAUGUGUUGUGUGUGCAUAUCUUUAACCCCAGUACUUGGAAGGAAGAGUUCCAAGCCAACCUGGUCUUAAAAGUGAGUUCCAAGAUGGCCAGGGUCAUACAGAGAAGCCCUGUCUC